UAAAUGCAAGUCAAGGACUCUUCGGAGUAGUGGCGGACGGGUGAGUAAAGGCCCCCUUUCGUGCCUUUAGGUUCGGAAUAAGGCCGGGAAACUGGGUCUAAUACCGAAUGUGCCCUUCGGGGGAAAGAUUUAUCGCCUUUAGAGCGGCCCGCGCCUGAUUAGCUAGUUGGUAGUGUAAUGGACUACCAAGGCUACGAUCAGAAGCUGGCCUGAAAGGAUGACCAGCCACAUUGGGACUGAGACACGGCCCACACUCCUACGGGAGGCAGCAGUGGGGAAUCUUGCGCAAUGGGCGAAAGCCUGACUCAGCCAUGCCGCGUGAAUGAUGAAGGUCUUAGGAUUGUAAAAUUCUUUCCCCGGCGACGAUAAUGACGGUACCCGGAGAAGAAGCCCCGGCUAACUUCUUGCCAGAAGCCGCGCUUAUACUAAUGGGGGCUAGCGCUUGCUCGAAAUUACUGUGCCCAAAGGGUGCAUAGGUCGGACAUUAACCUCAUGGUCGAAUUCCCAGAUCUUAUCUCUUGGAACUGCCUUUAAAUCUGGGAGUC
rnacentral:rRNA from 1 species